AACGAACGCUGGCGGCAGGCUUAACACAUGCAAGUCGAACGCAUCCUUCGGGAUGAGUGGCAGACGGGUGAGUAACACGUGGGAACCUACCCAAAGGUACGGAAUAACACAGGGAAACUUGUGCUAAUACCGUAUGUGCCCUUCGGGGGAAAGAUUUAUCGCCUUUGGAUGGGCCCGCGUCGGAUUAGCUAGUUGGUGGGGUAAUGGCCUACCAAGGCGACGAUCCGUAGCUGGUCUGAGAGGAUGAUCAGCCACACUGGGACUGAGACACGGCCCAGACUCCUACGGGGGGCAGCAGUGGGGAAUAUUGGACAAUGGGCGCAAGCCUGAUCCAGCCAUGCCGCGUGAGUGAUGAAGGCCUUAGGGUUGUAAAGCUCUUUCAGCUGGGAAGAUAAUGACGGUACCAGCAGAAGAAGCCCCGGCUAACUUCGUGCCAGCAGCCGCGGUAAUACGAAGGGGGCUAGCGUUGUUCGGAAUCACUGGGCGUAAAGCGCACGUAGCGG
rnacentral:rRNA from 1 species